UCUGUCUCUCUCUCGUCCUGCAUUUAGGUACUGGGCUCCUUGAGCAGAGCAUGGUUUGGUGUUGAGUGUUACAACAGUCAUUAUUCUAAAGGAGCCCGCAGUCUGGGACCAGACAGUGAUGGUCGUAGAUGCUGAACUAACUGGAUAAAGCACCAGCCUAAUACAUUCCUGUGAAGAGUUUCAAAGUUGGUACUUCCCAGUGGAAAAAACAGAGGAGCACAUUCUACUUCUACUUGACCCAGCAGACCGAGCAGAGCUCCAGGAGUGACACACAUCUGAAAUGAGCUGUGAGGUGCAGCCGUGCUCUCCCUAGCACUCAGGAAGCCCAGUGCUGGGGCACAGCUGUGGGACAGGAGCUCACGCCCGUGCCCGGCUGAUGAAGUGAAGGGACCGUGUGCUGCUGGCUCUGAAGUGAAAACAAUCACUCUGAAAUCUCAGAGCUUCCUUAGAAAUGGAAAAGAAUGGGGUGGGAGCA